CUCAAAUAGCCUCUAAAGGCGGCUUGAAUUUUUGUUGCAGCCUGAUUUAAUGUGACUCGAUCACGAAGAUAAGGAUCUCGACUGUUUCUUGCUUGCAGUGACGCUUUUCGCUAGGAGUAGGGUAGAAUUAGGCUCUUAAAAUAAGUAAACAAAUAACAGAAGUGAUAAAAAGUGGAAGAAUAAGUAAUCGAUUUUAAGACUCAGUUGAUUGAAAAUAUUUCAAUGUCAGCUCAUUUGGUAGAACUGUCAGUUUUAGAAGAAUGCAAGGACAAAACACGAUGUCUGAACGGUUGAAAAGAGUAUGGAAUAAGCUAAUUCCCCCUGAAGAGUCAGUAUUGUUUCACUAUCUUUCACUUUAAGUUAAAAAGAAGGAGCAGACAGACAGCAUUCCAGCUAGGCCAAAGUGUUGAAAGCAAGUGCGUUAUGUUCAAGGUGAAAUCUUAAUUCAGAUCGAGUUAGUUUUGGCUCUCAAUGUAUCUUGAUUGGAUAGUUAAUAUUGCUAUAAAAUUAUUAUUGGCUGCUUUAGUUCUAUUUACAUCAUCAGAAUUAUGUAAGCAUCAUAUGACAUAGA